CAUUGGNUCAACCAAUGUAUGCUUUGGAAACUGUUAGACUUGAGUGCAGAAGGGGAGAGUGGAAUUCCAUGUGUAGCGGUGAAAUGCGUAGAUAUAUGGAGGAACACCGGUGGCGAAAGCGGCUCUCUGGUCUGUCACUGACGCUGAGGCUCGAAAGCGUGGGUAGCGAACAGGAUUAGAUACCCUGGUAGUCCACGCCGUAAACGCUGAGUGCUAGGUGUUAGGUCCUUUCCGGGACUUAGUGCCGACGCUAACGCAUUAAGCACUCCGCCUGGGGAGUACGACCGCAAGGUUGAAACUCAAAGGAAUUGACGGGGGCCCGCACAAGCGGUGGAGCAUGUGGUUUAAUUCGAAGCAACGCGAAGAACCUUACCAGGUCUUGACAUCCCGAUGCCCGCUCUAGAGAUAGAGUUUUACUUUUUGUACAUCGGAGACAGGUGGUGCAUGGUUGUCGUCAGCUCGUGUCGUGAGAUGUUGGGUUAANNNNNNNNNCGAGCGCAACCCUUAUUGUUAGUUGCCAUCAUUAAGUUGGGCACUCUAGCGAGACUGCCGGUAAUAAACCGGAGGAAGGUGGGGAUGACGUCAAAUCAUCAUGCCCCUUAUGACCUGGGCUACACACGUGCUACAAUGGUUGGUACAACGAGUCGCAAGCCGGUGACGGCAAGCUAAUUUCUGAAAGCCAAUCUCAGUUCGGAUUGUAGGCUGCAACUCGCCUACAUGAAGUCGGAAUCGCUAGUAAUCGCGGAUCAGCACGCCGCGGUGAAUACGUUCCCGGGCCUU
rnacentral:rRNA from 1 species